rnacentral:tRNA from 1 species
GCGUUGGUGGUUCAGUGGAAGAGUUCUUGCCUUCCAUGUAGGAGACCCAGGUUCCACUCUGGCCAAUGCC